rnacentral:rRNA from 1 species
GAUGAACGCUGGCGGCGUGCCUAAUACAUGCAAGUCGAGCGAAUGGAUUAAGAGCUUGCUCUUAUGAAGUUAGCGGCGGACGGGUGAGUAACACGUGGGUAACCUGCCCAUAAGACUGGGAUAACUCCGGGAAACCGGGGCUAAUACCGGAUAACAUUUUGAACCGCAUGGUUCGAAAUUGAAAGGCGGCUUCGGCUGUCACUUAUGGAUGGACCCGCGUCGCAUUAGCUAGUUGGUGAGGUAACGGCUCACCAAGGCAACGAUGCGUAGCCGACAUGAGAGGGUGGUCGGCGACACUGGGACUGAGACACGGCCCAGACACCUACGGGAGGGAGCAGUAGGGAAUCUUCCGCAAUGGACGAAAGUCUGACGGAGAAACGCCGCGUGAGUGAUGAAGGCUUUCGGGUCGUAAAACUCUGUUGUUAGGGAAGAACAAGUGCUAGUUGAAUAAGCUGGCACCUUGACGGUACCUAACCAGAAAGCCACGGCUAACUACGUGCCAGCAGCCGCCGUAA